AUUGAACGCUGGCGGCAGGCCUAACACAUGCAAGUCGAGCGGGGUUUUCGGACCUAGCGGCGGACGGGUGAGUGAUGCGUAGGAAGCUGCCCGAUAGAGGGGGAUACCGGUUGGAAACGACUGUUAAUACCGCAUAAUGUCUACGGACCAAAGUGUGGGACCUUCGGGCCACAUGCUAUCGGAUGCGCCUACGUGGGAUUAGCUAGUUGGUGAGGUAAUGGCUCACCAAGGCGACGAUCUCUAGCUGGUUUGAGAGGAUGAUCAGCCACACUGGAACUGAGACACGGUCCAGACUCCUACGGGAGGCAGCAGUGGGGAAUAUUGGACAAUGGGCGCAAGCCUGAUCCAGCCAUGCCGCGUGUGUGAAGAAGGCCCUCGGGUUGUAAAGCACUUUCAGCGAGGAGGAAGGGUGGUGUGUUAAUAGCACAUCAUUUUGACGUUACUCGCAGAAGAAGCACCGGCUAACUCUGUGCCAGCAGCCGCGGUAACAC
rnacentral:rRNA from 1 species